AAAAAUGUAUGAGAGAUACAUUUGUAUCAAUGGUUGAGAUCUUUCCUGAUCAACAUCUAACGGUUGUCUCUCAAACACUCCUCUCAUUUCUACCCAAGUGUAUCAAACACUCCUCUUCUUUUGUCUCUCACAGGUCUGCCUCCCACCUAACCCUUCUCCCUCUCUUCUUCUUGAUUUCAAAUGGGACUCGAACUUCCUCAUCCAACCCUUCUAGGGUUUUUCGAAUGGCCACCGAGCCUCCUUCUUCAUCCUCAUCAUCACCACCACACUCCGAUUCAUCCUCGGUCCCCGCUUCUCCUGCCAUCGAUUUUCUCUCUCUCUGUCACCGUCUCAAGACGACGAAGAGAAGGGAUGUUGAGAAUCCAGAGUCCAUAGCCGAUCGUAUGUAUCGAAUGGGGUUGAUGGCUCUCAAAUAGGAAUGCUGAUUGAUCUACAUCAAGUUGGAAUGAUGCUAAGGAAUUCGGAGAAUCGGAAGUCGGCAUCAGGUUCUCCAGAGAAGGAAGACAGGUACUACACCACGAGAGGGUCAGUGGCUGGGUUGGGGUUGGGGUUGGAUGGAAAGGCCGGUGG